rnacentral:rRNA from 1 species
AGUGAACGCUGGCGGUAGGCCUAACACAUGCAAGUCGAACGGCAGCACAGUAAGAGCUUGCUCUUACGGGUGGCGAGUGGCGGACGGGUGAGGAAUACAUCGGAAUCUACUUUUUCGUGGGGGAUAACGUAGGGAAACUUACGCUAAUACCGCAUACGACCUACGGGUGAAAGCAGGGGAUCUUCGGGCCUUGCGCGAAUGAAUGAGCCGAUGUCGGAUUAGCUAGUUGGCGGGGUAAAGGCCCACCAAGGCGGCUAUCCGUAGCUGGUGUGAGAGGAUGGUCGGCCGCCCUAGAGCUGGGACACGGUCCAUGCUCCUGCGGGACGCCCCAGUGGGGUAUGUUGGACAGUGGUGGCGAGCCUUGUCCAACGAGACCGCGUGGGUUACAGCGGCCUUCCGGUUGUAAAGCCCUUUUUUGGGUAGAGAAACGCUGCAGGUUGAUACCCCGCUUUUCUGACGGUACCCGGUGAAUAAGCACCGGCUAACUUCGUG